rnacentral:rRNA from 1 species
UGGGGAAUAUUGCGCAAUGGGGGAAACCCUGACGCAGCGACGCCGUGUGAGGGAAGAAGGCUUUCGGGUCGUAAACCUCUGUCGGGAAGGAAGAACCCCUCGGGUCCCAAUAGGGCUCGAGGCUGACGGUACUUCCAAAGGAAGCACCGGCUAACUCCGUGCCAGCAGCCGCGGUAAUACGGAGGGUGCAAGCGUUAAUCGGAAUCACUGGGCGUAAAGCGCGCGUAGGCGGCCUUUUAAGUCGGACGUGAAAGCCCUCGGCUCAACCGGGGAAUUGCGUUCGAUACUGGGAGGCUUGAGUCCUGGAGAGGGUGGCGGAAUUCCGGGUGUAGGAGUGGAAAUCCGUAGAUAUCCGGAGGAAACGACCGGUGGCGAAGGCGGCCACCGUGGACAGGUACUGAC